GACGAACGCUGGCGGCGUGCCUAAUACAUGCAAGUAGAACGCUGAAGAGAGGAGCUUACUCUUCUUGGAUGAGUUGCGAACGGGUGAGUAACGCGUAGGUAACCCGCCUUGUAGCGGGGGAUAACUAUUGGAAACGAUAGCUAAUACCGCAUAACAAUGGAUGACACAUGUCAUUUAUUUGAAAGGGGCAAUUGCUCCACUACAAGAUGGACCUGCGUUGUAUUAGCUAGUAGGUGAGGUAAUGGCUCACCUAGGCGACGAUACAUAGCCGACCUGAGAGGGGGAUCGGCCACACUGGGACUGAGACACGGCCCAGACUCCUACGGGAGGCAGCAGUAGGGAAUCUUCGGCAAUGGGGGCAGCCCUGACCGAGCAACGCCGCGUGAGUGAAGAAGGUUUUCGGAUCGUAAAGCUCUGUUGUAAGUCAAGAACGGGUGUGAGAGUGGAAAGUUCACACUGUGACGGUAGCUUACCAGAAAGGGACGGCUAACUACGUG
rnacentral:rRNA from 1 species